UCCAUCUCCUGCUAAGAAGCAGGUUCUGCAUCCAGCCCUCCCCACUCCUAGUCCCUCGGCCAGUCUCCAUAGGGCGCUGCUGAGUGCAAACCUGCGCUCACCCACUCCAGGCAAGGGGUCCAGCAGCCAGCAGCUGGACAGGACGGGUGAACCGGCAAGGCCUUCGCAUGCUGUGGAAGGAACCGUGGAGGAGUAGGAGAGGCAGGGAGGAGGAGCUGGGAGAGGAGGCUGGACCACAGAGCAGCGGGGAAAACCCUCCUGGACACCGGCUAAGAAACUUCCCUCCUUAGCAUCACCGGGACUGCCAACCCCAAGCAGGGACCAGCACCCCUGCCUGUCCUCCCUGCUGCAGAGGGACCACUGGAUGCUGGCUCAUGGCUUGCACCCGACACAAAUGUGCCCAUCCUUGCCAAGGUGGCAUUGCCGACACCAGCCACAGACCUCCGGCCAGCUGGCAGGGCCGUGGGCCCCAAACGAGCCCAAGAUGGGACUCCUGAGCUGCUAUCCAUCCCAUGGGAGCUCUGGGCAUCAAAACUCCUAUGGAGGCCCAGCCAGAAGCAACUCUUACAGGAAACCUGGGGGCCCAUGGAGGUGUACCCCUGGGAUUCCUCAGGAGCUGGUCAAAGGCCUCACCUCCAAGGGAAUCACCUUCAGGGGACACCACCCCCAGAGGGACAUCACCUCCAGGGCACACUACGUCCAGGGGGACAUCGCCUCCACGUGGACACCACUCCUGGGGGGACAUUGCCUCCAGGGGACUUCACCCUAGGGAGACAGCGCCUCCACAUGGACACCACCCCUGGGGGGACAGCACCUCCAGGAGCUCCCUGGGGUGGUCCCACCCGACAGACCACAAACUGCAUCUGUAGCAUUUGGACAAAAUGGUCCUUUGCCUUCAAACAUCAGUGACUUUCUUUGGCCCCCACACUUUUGCAGAAGUGCGCCUUGACUUGUAAUAAAAUUUUACUAUUAUCCUCAA